rnacentral:hammerhead_ribozyme from 1 species
GUACUACUGAGGAGUCCCAUGACAGGACGAAAUGACCGUCCAGUUC